rnacentral:autocatalytically_spliced_intron from 1 species
CCCGGUCCGUGCUCACUGGCCGGUCUCCUCCCUGGCGUGCGUCGCGGGUAACUGCGGGGUGCGAAGCCCAGGGUUCAAGCCGAAGGG